rnacentral:rRNA from 1 species
AUUGAACGCUGGCGGCAGGCUUAACACAUGCAAGUCGAGCGGGCGAGGUUGCUUCGGUAACUGAGCUAGCGGCGGACGGGUGAGUAAUGCUUAGGAAUCUGCCUAUUAGUGGGGGACAACAUUCCGAAAGGGAUGCUAAUACCGCAUACGUCCUACGGGAGAAAGCAGGGGAUCACUUGUGACCUUGCGCUAAUAGAUGAGCCUACGUCGGAUUAGCUAGUUGGUGGGGUAAAGGCCUACCAAGGCGACGAUCUGUAGCGGGUCUGAGAGGAUGAGCCGCCACACUGGGACUGAGACACGGCCCAGACUCCUACGGGAGGCAGCAGUGGGGAAUAUUGGACAAUGGGGGGAACCCUGGUCCAGCCAUGCCGCGUGUGUGAAGAAGGCCUUUUGGUUGUAAAGCACUUUAAGUGGGGAGGGGGCUUACCUGGUUAAUACCUGGGCUAAGUGGACGUUACCCACAGAAUAAGCACCGGCUAACUCUGUGCCAGCAGCCGCAGUAA